rnacentral:rRNA from 1 species
GUGCAAAGGUAGCAUAAUCAUUAGGGGUUUAAUUGGAACCUGGUAUGAAGGGUUGGACAAAGGAAAAACUGUCUUUAUAAUAAAUGUUGAAAUUUACUUUUAAGUGAAAAGGCUUAAAUAUUUCAAAGGGACGAUAAGACCCUAUAAAGCUUUAUAAAUUAUUUAAAUUUGGUUAAUUUAUUAAUAAAAGUCAAAUUUAAUUAUUUUAUUUUAUUGGGGUGAUACGAGUAUAAUUAUUAUUAACUGCUUGAGUAAAAUACUAUUAUUGAAGAGUUUAAAUAUAUGAUCCUUAUUUUAAGAUUAAAAGAAUAAGUUACUUUAGGGAUAACAGCGUUAUUUCUUUUGAGAGUUCAUAUCGAAAAAGAAGAUUGCGACCUCGAUGUUGAAUUAAAAUAUCUAAAUAAUGCAGUCGUUAUAAAAGAAGGUCUGUUCGACCUUUAAAUUUUUACAUGAUUUGAGUUC